UACGUAGGGGGCAAGCGUUGUCCGGAAUUAUUGGGCGUAAAGAGCGCGUAGGCGGUCCGAUAAGUCGGUUGUGAAAACUGGGGGCUCAACCCUCAGAGGCCGACCGAUACUGCCGGGCUAGAGUCCGGAAGAGGCGAGUGGAAUUCCUGGUGUAGCGGUGAAAUGCGCAGAUAUGCGGAGGAACACCGAUGGCGAAGGCAGUCCCCUGGACCUGUACUGACGCUCAUGCACGAAAGCGUGGGGAGCAAACAGG
rnacentral:rRNA from 1 species